GAUGAACGCUGGCGGCGUGCCUAAUACAUGCGAGUCGAGCGAACGGACGAGAAGCUUGCUUCUCUGAUGUUAGCGGCGGACGGGUGAGUAACACGUGGAUAACCUACCUAUAAGACUGGGAUAACUUCGGGAAACCGGAGCUAAUACCGGAUGAUAUUUUGAACCGCAUGGUUCAAAAGUUAAAGACGGUCUUGCUGUCACUUAUAGAUGGAUCCGCGCUGCAUUAGCUAGUUGGUAAGGUAACGGCUUACCAAGGCAACGAUGCAUAGCCGACCUGAGAGGGUGAUCGGCCACACUGGAACUGAGACACGGUCCAGACUCCUACGGGAGGCAGCAGUAGGGAAUCUUCCGCAAUGGGCGAAAGCCUGACGGAGCAACGCCGCGUGAGUGAUGAAGGUCUUCGGAUCGUAAAACUCUGUUAUUAGGGAAGAACAAAUGUGUAAGUAACUGUGCACAUCUUGACGGUACCGAAUCAGAAAGCCACGGCUAACUACGUG
rnacentral:rRNA from 1 species